rnacentral:rRNA from 1 species
ACAGGGGGAGCAAGCGUUAUCCGGAAUGAUUGGGCGUAAAGCGUUUGUAGGUGGCUUGUAAAGUCUACUGUUAAAUAUCUGGGCUCAACCCCGAAAAGGCAGUGGAGGACUCACAAGCUUGAGUGUGGUAGAGGUAGAGGGAAUUCCAUGUGGAGCGGUGAACUGCGUAGAGAUAUGGAAGAACACCAGCGGCGAAGGCGCUCUACUGGGCCAAGACUGACACUGAGAAACGAAAGCUAGGGGAGCGAAUAGGA